GUCUAGAGAUGAUUUACUCUGCCAGGCGGCAGCACUCGAAGCACACAGGAUCCUGAACCUCAACAACAACCCCUACUUUUCUGGGCCCUAAUUUAUUCAAAGAACACUACAUGUCACAUGAAUUCAAAAUUACUUCUCUGGAGGACCAGGAGUCCAGGACCAUGAUACUCGUAGUACUGUUCCAUGGCAUUGACAGUGAAACAUAUCACAUGCUCAGCAAGAAAACAAAGUCUCAGCC